AAUGAUUUUAUUUAUUUAUUUUAGAGAGAGAGUGUGUGUGUGGCAUGGGAGUGACGGGAGAGGCAGGACGUGGAAGGAGAAUCGUGAGCCCACGCUGCACUGAACACAGACCCUGUGUGGGGCUCGAUCCCACAACCAUGAGAUCCAUCCAGAGCCAAAAUCAAGAGUCAGUCGCUUACCCUGCUGAGCCACCAUCCAUCUCCUUGGGCAUUAGUGUUGUUCCGUUCCCUGUGAUCUGCACCACCGCUGUGCUGAACACUCCUGAAAAUACAACUGAAAAACCCAGCCAGAGCUCCCGGGGGGGACCAGCAGGGCUGCGUGUUCUCAGGCACCUGAGGGCCACCUGGCCCAGGAAUUCACCUUCUCCAGCAGAGGGCAGAUGGGGCGUCUUCUCUGGCCAGGAUUAGGAACCCUGAUCCUGGGAAAGGAGAGCUCUUCUGGACUCCUGGCCCAGCCAAGCAGCCGUGGGCACGGUGUAUGUGACGGAGCCAGAGUGGCUGGGCCUUGAAGGGAAUGAGUGUCUUAAACCAGCUUUGUGCAGGUCAUGUGGGAGCAGCGGCCCCUGCUUCUUGGUGAGCAGUGAUGUGUGUGGAAGGAAGGAGGCCGGGGUGGAGCCUUCCCAGCCACACCACAGUCUCUCCCUUGGUCCUGAAACCAGCAGGAAGGGAGCUCCAAGGGUGGAGACGAGACUCCAGGAGGAUUUCCAUCCAGGGAAAGGAGGCCCGCAGCCCCCGGAGGGCACUGAAGCUGCCAGCCCCGCCGGCCCCCAGGCCAUUUGCACAGGAUCACCUCCAGCACUUCCGUAGCACGUUGUCCGUGUUUGUGUGUGGACAGUGAUUGGCCCACUCAGUGCUGGUGCAUUUCCAGAGGCAGACUAGCCAGUGCCUGCUAGUGGGACAGAAGACCCCCACCCAGAGAAGCCGAGGAUGUCCCUCUUCCUCCGGGGCUGGGGAAGGCAGCCACUGUCCUGGGGCAGGACCUGGUCCAACCCAGCAAGUGAAAGAACCAACCCCCGCCAAUGCUCAGGUUCUAACUGAAGCAGAAUUUCAUGUACUCUUCAAGUCCAGAUUUACCGUGUGCAGCAAGGACGCCUGCCCCUCCCCACUAGGUGUUGCUGGUCGACCAGGAGGGGGAGUCCAGCUGGAGGGACAGGCGGUAGCUACAGGACAGAGCGACACGUCUGAGCUAGCAGAAGCCACACUCUGGUCUCCCUCCCGGAGCCUGCCCGGGAGCUGGAAUCUGGGUGCCCUAGGGGCCAGCACACAACAGGUCACACAGGCCAUCCACCCUGGAGGGGAGGGGAUUCCACAGGGAUGUGUGACCAGGAUUCGGGAAUGCCCGGGAACCACUGUGGAGACUGCCCAGCACAUGGGCACAGACGAGGCCUGGGGACCUGAGCCUCAACCUAAUGGGAGCCCCUGGAAGUCUGUGUCAUGAGAGGACAAGGUCGGAAUCCGUUCAUUGCGACCUUCCCACGGGGCUGGGACACAGGCAGGAGGGGGUGGCUUUGCCUGGACCCCAGAGCAGACCCAGCCCCUCUGAGCUGUGUUCCAUGCCCCCCCAGCCCCUGGCUCAUCCUCGCAUUGCCAAGUGUGUGCCCCAGCCUCCUGUGAGAGCAGGUACGGAAUGUAUGUAGAGGUCCUACCCCUGAUGGCGUCCCUACAAGUAGAAGCCAGAACACCCACUGUGCAGAUAAGGAGCCUGGGGAGGCCGAGAGCCACAGGGUCUGCCCAGGGUCACAGCCCUGGUCAUGAGCAGGAGCCCAGUCUGAAACCAGCUCUGCGUCCUCACAGCAGGAACACCGGCUGCACCCAGGCCUCCUGGGGGCUGCAGGGCCCAACAGAAUUUGGAACCCGGGUAACCAGGCACCCACAUUCCAGAGCCAAACCCCUGCCCAGCUCAUUUCGUUGGAGAUCCUCGAACGAAGAACAUGUUUGCGUGCUGCAUCCCCAAGCCCGGAGGCUGCAGGCUGAGGAGAGUGCGCCCUGCAAACACUUCCCCUUGCUGGGGAUGUGCUAGGGCUCCCCGACGCCUCUGGCCAUUUGGCAGGAAGGACCGAAAGGUGACACCAGGAGGCCCAGAGCCGGCCAGCCCAGCCCCACACACUCUGAUCUGACUGUGCAGCCCCAGGUCCCCUCCGUGUGUGCAUGUGCGUGUACGUGUGUGUGUGUGAGGGGUCAUGUAGGGUGGGGCCACCCCGAGCAGGAACAGGCUGAUGAGGGGU